GAUGAACGCUGACAGAAUGCUUAACACAUGCAAGUCUUUGGCGAAGCUGUGCUUGCACCGCCUAGCCAAGGCGGACGGGUGAGUAACGCGUAAGGAACUUGCCCUGCAGUCAGGGAUAACAGACGGAAACGACUGAUAAGACCUGGUAAAGUCAGGCGGACUCAUGUCCAGCCUGAUGAAAAGAGAUGCUGCAGGAGAGCCUUGCGUCCUAUUAGCUUGUUGGUGGGGUAACGGCCCACCAAGGCGAUGAUAGGUAGCCGGCCUGAGAGGGUGGACGGCCACAAGGGGACUGAGAUACGGCCCUUACUCCUACGGGAGGCAGCAGGGGGGAAUAUUGGACAAUGGGGGCAACCCUGAUCCAGCAAUUCUGUGUGCACGAUGAAGGUUUUCGGAUUGUAAAGUGCUUUCAGCAGGGAAGAAAAAAAUGACGGUACCUGCAGAAGAAGCGACGGCUAAAUACGUG
rnacentral:rRNA from 1 species